rnacentral:tRNA from 3 species
GCUCGGAUGGCGGAAUUGGUAGACGCGCUAGACUAAGGAUCUAGUAGAGAAAUCUGUGGGUGUUCGAGUCACCUUUCGAGCA